rnacentral:rRNA from 1 species
UACAGAGGAUGCAAGCGUUAUCCGGAAUGAUUGGGCGUAAAGCGUCUGUAGGUGGCUUUUUAAGUCCGCCGUCAAAAUCCCAGGGCUCAACUCUGGACAGGCGGUGGAAACUACCAAGCUGGAGUACGGUAGGGGCAGAGGGAAUUUCCGGUGGAGCGGUGAAAUGCGUAGAGAUCGGAAAAGAACACCAACGGCGAAAAGCACUCUGCUGGGCCGACACUGACAUGAGAGACGAAAAGCUAGGGGGGAGCGA